AGUUUGAUCCUGGCUCAGAACGAACGCUGGCGGCGCGUUUUAAGCAUGCAAGUCGGACGGUAGAGGGGAGCGAUUCUCUUGAGAGUGGCGAACGGGUGAGUAACACGUAGGUGAUCUGUCCUGGGUUUGGGGAUAGCCUGUGGAAACACGGGGUAAUACCGAAUACGCUCUGGGGGCUAUGGUCUCUGGAGGAAAGGCGCGGGCGCGUCGACCGGGGGGGAGCCUGCGGUCCAUUAGCUAGUUGGUGGGGUAAAGGCCUACCAAGGCGAUGAUGGAUAGCCGGCCUGAGAGGGUGUACGGCCACACUGGGACUGAGAUACGGCCCAGACUCCUACGGGAGGCAGCAGCUAAGAAUCUUCCGCAAUGGGCGCAAGCCUGACGGAGCGACGCCGCGUGGACGAUGAAGGCCGCAAGGUUGUAAAGUCCUUUUCUCUGUGAAGAAUAAGCGGGGGAGGAAAUGCCCCUGUGAUGACGUUAGCGGAGGAAUAAGCCCCGGCUAAUUACGUGCCAGCAGCCGCGGUAAUACGUAAGGGGCGAGCGUUGUUCGGAAUCAUUGGGUGUAAAGGGCGCGUAGGCGGCUUGGCAAGUCUGGUGUGUAAGGCUACAGCUUAACUGUAGUUAGGCGCUGGAAACUGCGAGGCUGGAGUGCAGGAGAGGGAGCUGGAAUUCCAGGUGUAGGGGUGAAAUCUGUAGAGAUCUGGAAGAACACCGGUGGCGAANGCGAGCUCCUGGUCUGUAACUGACGCUGAGGCGCGAAAGCGUGGGGAGCGAACAGGAUUAGAUACCCUGGUAGUCCACGCUGUAAACGAUGUACACUNGUGUUGGUCCAGAAAGGAUCGGUGCCGGAGCAAACGCGUUAAGUGUACCACCUGGGGAGUACGCCGGCAACGGUGAAACUCAAAGGAAUUGACGGGGGCCCGCACAAGCG
rnacentral:rRNA from 1 species